rnacentral:rRNA from 1 species
AGAGUUUGAUCMUGGCUCAGAAUGAACGCUGGCGGCGUGCUUAACACAUGCAAGUCGCACGAGAACGCUUUAGCUUGCUAGAGCUAGUAAAGUGGCGCACGGGUGAGUAACGCGUGGGUAAUCUACCCCUGAAUUUGGGAUAACGUUGCGAAAGCGACGCUAAUACCGGAUAAUAUCUUUAUAACUUUGGUUAUUUUGAUCAAAGGUGGCCUCUACAUGUAAGCUACUGUUUGGGGAUGAGCCCGCGUACCAUUAGCUAGUUGGUAGGGUAACGGCCUACCAAGGCAACGAUGGUUAGCUGGUCUGAGAGGAUGAUCAGCCACACUGGAACUGACACACGGUCCAGACUCCUACGGGAGGCAGCAGUGAGGAAUUUUGCGCAAUGGGGGAAACCCUGACGCAGCAACGCCGCGUGAGUGAUGAAGGCCUUCGGGUCGUAAAGCUCUGUCAAGUGGGAAGAACCUAUGAGGUGCCAAUACCACCUUGUACUGACGGUACCACUGAAGGAAGCACCGGCUAACUCCGUGCCAGCAGCCGCGGUAAUA